rnacentral:sRNA from 1 species
GAAGUUUUUCUCUCUCAUCAACCUCUCUCUAUCCUUCCUCCAACCCACCCAUACCCUUCUUAUUUAAACAUCAUUUUAAAAAACAUGAACAGGGAGAUCAAAAUUAAUAUGCAGGGCAGCCAUGAAUGGGAAAGAAUCUCAUAGCCUGCAAUGGGAAGGAAGCAAAAUGGGAAGCUCCACACCUGAGAGUUGGGGGAGAGCAGGAGCAGGGAGGCUCCCAGCUGACAGAUUGUGUGUGCACACAGUGGCAUGCCCUCUCCCGUGAAGAGCAGGCUAAAUAUUAUGAAUUAGCACGGAAAGAAAGACAGCUACAUAUGCAGCUUUAUCCAGGCUGGUCUGCAAGAGACAAUUAUGGUAAGAAAAAGAAGAGGAAGAGAGAGAAACUACAGGAAUCUACAUCAGGUACAGGUCCAAGAAUGACAGCUGCCUACAUCUGAAACAUGGUGGAAAACGAAGCUCAUUCCCAACAUGCAAAGCCAAGGCAGCGACCCCAGGACCUCUUCUGGAGAUGGAAGCUUGUUGAAAACCCAGACUGUCUCCACGGCCUGCCCAGUCGACCC